CAGCAGCCGCGGGAACACCGAGGGUGCAAGCGUUAAUCGGAAUUACUGGGCGUAAAGCGCGCGUAGGUGGUUUGUUAAGUUGGAUGUGAAAUCUCCGGGCUCAACCUGGGAACUGCAUCCAAAACUGGCAAGCUAGAGUAUGGUAGAGGGUGGUGGAAUUUCCUGUGUAGCGGUGAAAUGCGUAGAUAUAGGAAGGAACACCAGUGGCGAAGGCGACCACCUGGACUGAUACUGACACUGAGGUGCGAAAGCGUGGGGAGCAAACAGGAUUAGAUACCCCGGUAGUCCCUGUCUCUUAUAA
rnacentral:rRNA from 1 species